UGAGUGUUUGUGCGUGAGUGUGUGUGUGUGUGUGUGAGAGAGAGAGAGAGUGUGAGUGUAUGUAUGAGUGUGAGAGGGGAAAGAGGUUAAGUCCCCCGCGUUGCCUGCACUGGGGGAAGCACGCAGCUAGAGAUCGAUUCUUAUUUAGAUGAAAAUGAGGCCGAAAGCGCAUCUGCCUCGAACAGUGAACCAGGACGUCUAAUUCCGACCGGGAUUUAAAAACAACACCAAGCCUAUUUUCUGGAGGAAGGUGUGUGGAAAUUCUCCAGGGUGAUAAUCACGUCCAGGGCACCUGCUGUCAUUUAAGAUCAAGUCAAAGUUGGAGUUGGAGCUGGAGUUUUCCUUUAAACUUUAAACAGUGCUUGGAAUGACAAUGAGGAGAAAAGUCAGAAACUAAUCAGGAAGAAAGAGAGAGAGAGAGAGAUUAAGCAAACACGACCCAAACUUUAUCUGAUUGAUUAGCCGUAGAUUGCAGGAGAGAGAUGUGCCGAGCGUCAGCAUAAAACUGCAGCUUGGUCUGUCCUGUUCUCCUGCUCGGACACUGACCGCCUCGCCUUUCCAUCAUAAUCCAGCAGAUGUUUUUUUUUGAUGUCACCAAACUGCAGAAAAACCUUAAAAAUAUGCAGAGCACUCAGGUUUAAUCUGCACCUGUGAGUAGAAGGACUGUAGAAGUCUUCUGUGUUGAAUGUUGAAUGAAUAAAGCUGGAAAGAAUUCAACAGUAUAAUCUGGAGGACUUUUGCAGAACAUUUUUUUAUAUGAAUAAAGCAACCUUCAAAGUAUUCUGAUCAAAAUGGUCAGAAAAUGUGCUACUCUUCAGCUCGAGUCUCUCUUCUAUUUUUCCCCCUUCUAUUUUCUUGAGAUUUUUUUGUCUGCUUUUUAUUUCUCUCAUCCCAAAUGAUGAAAGUGAUCAAACCAAACUUUAUCCUGAAAGAUGCCAAAAAUUUCAAGAUUGUAGCCAUUAGCUCCAGACCUGUACAGCUGUGUGUAAAAGUUUGUACACCCUGAGAACACAUGUCUGUUGAGACAUCUAGCCUGCAAUGUUUUUUCUUUAUCCAGAGAAACACACAUGGACAAAUGAUGCAUAUUAAAUAUCGUAAUAGUUGAAAGAAAAUAAAUUUAAUUCAAUUCAAAAGAUGAUGUGCUAUUUUCAUUCAAUGUGACACAAAAAUUUCUUAAUAUACAUGCUCAGUCAUGCGUUUAUAUAUUUCUUUUUUAUGAAAUAUAUUUCUUUUGAGUAGGA